UACGUAGGUGGCAAGCGUUACUCGGAUUCACUGGGCGUAAAGCGCAGGUAGGCGGUUUUGUAAGUCUUUUGUGAAAGCUCCCGGCUCAACUGGGAGAGGCUAAAGGAAACUACUAGACUAGAGUGUGGUAGGGGAUACUGGAAUUCCUGGUGUAGCGGUGAAAUGCGUAGAUAUCAGGAGGAAUACCUAUGGCGAAAGCAGGUAUCUGGGCCAUCACUGACGCUGAGCUGCGAAAGCUAGGGGAGCAAACAGG
rnacentral:rRNA from 1 species